ACGAGUCAUUCGAUCGAGAAUCGAUUCACCAGGUGCGGUCGUGCUGUAUGUUUAUGAAUCACUAAAAUCACUGGAUUUUAAGAUCAGUUUGUUCGUGUGUCGGACUGCGUUGGUGAGAGUAUGGUUUUAUUUAUUUUUAGUGUGCCGAAAAACAACCACAACGAGUCUUUUGUUCGUGAUUCUGAAUCGGAUUUCAUUCCACGUUGUGUCCACGACCGCCGCGCCUCGAAGACUCAACUCUGAAAGACUUAUUGAGGUACACAUGGAAGACACACUGAUUUGGGAUUUUGGUGAAAUUUGA
rnacentral:lncRNA from 1 species